AUGGGCGGCGGCAACUGCAACCCCAAGGACUUCGGCGCCGCCGCCUACUGGGACGCCCGCUACUCCUCUCCCUCCACUGGCGGCAAGGGCGGCGGCGGCGGCGGGUUCUUCGACUGGUACCAGUCGUACUCGGCGCUCCGCCCCCUCCUCCGCGCCUGCGUGCCCACUUCCUCCCAGGUCCUCAUGCUCGGCUGCGGCAACUCCCUUCUGUCGGAGGACAUGGUAAAGGAUGGUUACCAGAACAUAGUAAACAUAGACAUCUCAUCCGUUGUAAUCGAGCAGAUGAAGGAGAAGCACACGGAUAUCGCACAGCUUACAUAUAUGCAGUUGGAUGUCAGAGAUAUGAGCUUCUUUGGAGAUGGAUCAUUUGAUUGUAUCAUCGACAAAGGAACUUUGGAUGCUAUGAUGUGUGGUGAUGAUGCCCCUCAUGGCGCUUACAAAAUGCUAGCAGAAGUGGCAAGGCUUAUGAGGCCUGGUGGGAUUUACAUGUUGAUAACAUAUGGUGCUCCUAAGGAACGUCUGACACUUCUGAACCAAGUCCGAUGCCAUUGGGAAGUUGAGCUUUACAUUAUGCCAGCCACACCUGAAUACCAGCUGAAAUGGAGCAACGGUGCUGCACACGCCAUGAUGGAGAAAGUUGCGCUGACAGUGGAUGGCCAACUGCCACCUGACUACGUUCUCAAGGAUCCAGAGUCACAUUUCAUUUAUGUUUGUUACAAGUCAGAUAUAGUGACCGAAGAUAAGUCCAUGGUUGCUGGUCAAGAUGAUGCCAUGUCUUCAUUUUAA
rnacentral:rRNA from 1 species